AGAUUGAACGCUGGCGGAAUGCCUUACACAUGCAAGUCGAACGGCAGCACGGGAGCAAUCCUGGUGGCGAGUGGCGAACGGGUGAGUAAUACAUCGGAACGUGCCCAAUCGUGGGGGAUAACGUAGCGAAAGCUACGCUAAUACCGCAUACGAUCUACGGAUGAAAGCAGGGGAUCGCAAGACCUUGCGCGAAUGGAGCGGCCAGUGGCA
rnacentral:rRNA from 1 species